AUUGAACGCUGGCGGCAGGCUUAACACAUGCAAGUCGAGCGAGCGGCGGACGGGUGAGUAAUGUCUGGGAAACUGCCUGAUGGAGGGGGAUAACUACUGGAAACGGUAGCUAAUACCGCAUACCAUCAGAUGUGCCCAGAUGGGAUUGGCUAGUAGGUGGGGUAAUGGCUCACCUAGGCGACGAUCCCUAGCUGGUCUGAGAGGAUGACCAGCCAAACGGGAACUGAGACACGGGCCAGAACCCUAAGGGGGGAAGCAGGGGGGAAGAUUGCAGAAGGGGCGAAAGCCUGAUGCAGCCAAGCCGCGGGUGGGAAGAAGGCCUUCGGGUUGGAAAACACUGUCAGCGAGGAGGCGUUACUCGCAGAAGAAGCACCGGCUAACUCCGUGCCAGCAGCCGCGGUAAUUC
rnacentral:rRNA from 1 species